CGGAGGGUGCAAGCGUUAUCCGGAUUCACUGGGUUUAAAGGGUGCGUAGGCGGGCAGGUAAGUCCGUGGUGAAAUCUCUGAGCUUAACUCAGAAACUGCCAUGGAUACUAUUUGUCUUGAAUAUUGUGGAGGUGAGCGGAAUAUGUCAUGUAGCGGUGAAAUGCUUAGAUAUGACAUAGAACACCAAUUGCGAAGGCAGCUCACUACUCAAUCAUUGACGCUGAGGCACGAAAGCGUGGGGAUCAAACAGGAUUAGAUACCCAGGUAGUCCACGCCCUAAACGAUGAUUACUCGACAUCGGCGAUACACUGUCGGUGUCUGAGCGAAAGCAUUAAGUAAUCCACCUGGGAAGUACGACCGCAAGAUUG
rnacentral:rRNA from 1 species